rnacentral:lncRNA from 1 species
CGACUCUCAUUGUAUAAUAAGGGUCUUCAUUUCAUUGUGAAAACCAUCUAGGGAUCAACCUAGAAAUAAAAGUUUGUUAAUUAUUUAUACACCUUGUGUGUUUUUAUAUCUUUCUUGCUUGAGGUAAUACUCUGGAGGCAGAUGAUAUUUAUCUUCAGAACAUCAAGAACAACAAUCAAAGAAAGAAUCAAAAGGCAACCACUGUACAGGUAUUAAUUCAGAACUUUUACAAUAUCAUAUAGUUGUUUAGCAUAAUAAAAACAUAAAACAAGUAUUAAUUGAUGCAGGAACAUGUGUCAUAAUAUUAUAUAGGAAUAGAUUGUGCUUUAAAUCCAGAAUAACUAGAAAGGCUUAAAUAUAUUAGAUCAAUUAGUCCAUUAUAAAAUAACAAAAGAAUGUAUAAAGAUAAAUAGGAUAAAAAUCCCGAGAAUCAGAUUACAUAUACAAGAUAUCAGAAACCUUUAGUAAAUUAAACAAAGGAAUCGAUAAGGGAAUAAGCAGAAACAAGUAAAAGGCAUCAGGUUAUAAAAUUAAAAGAAAAUAAUAAAAUAAAAGAGAAUAUAAAACAAUAUAAGUUAACACUCACAAGAAAAUAUAAAACAAGGAUGGAUUCAAACUAGUCUAAGUAGAAGAAGACUAAACAGAGAAAAUAUACUAUAUUUAGGAAAGUUUACCACAACAACCAAUAGCUAUAGCAGAAGCAUCUGGAAAGAUAGAUAAUAAACGAAGAACAAUUAUAUAAAUUAAUGAAAUCUAUAAAAAAAAAAGAAAUGUAGAAGUAGAAUAGCAUACAUCCAUAUAGAUAAUAUAUACAAAUAAUAAUUAAUCCAAUUGGUUUGUAUUCAUCCAAUUAUAAUUUAUAUAUAUAUAUAUAUAUAUAUAUAUAUAUAUAUAUAUAUAUAUAUAUAUAUAUAAUAGUAAUAAUAAUAAUAUUAAUUAUUAUUAUUAUUAUAAUUAGAAUAAUAUAAAUAAUCCAUAAAAAUAUUAAACCAAAGAUAAGCCUCUACAAAUAAAAGAUAUUAAAAAUUUACAUUCUCAAAUUAAUUAUUCAAGUAAUAGAAAACAAAACGUAAAAAGAAACUUCCAAUAGUUCAAAAGAACCUAAAAACCAAUAUAUAAAUUAUUUAACGUAUCACAAAAAGAAUUAGAUUAAUUGAGAUUAAAAAGUGAUAUAGAUUUAAAAAUAAGAAUUGAAAAAAAAAAUUAGAUAAACUAAAUAAGGCAUUAAUAAAUACAUUACAAAUCAAUAAAUUAAAAAUAUGCCCAAAGCAUAGAAACUAUUACAAUUUGAAGGGAGAGAGGAGAACUGGUACAAAAUGCUUUCUUUGAAAAUGGAAUUUAGAUGGAAUGAAUGAACAAACUAUUUUAGAUAUGAUUUGUCAAAUGACAAUGACAUCUAUUAUCCAUAAAACUAAAGGUUGUAGCGCUAAAUCUGCUGUUAUAAUCACUGUACAAGGAUUCAUUGGCCAAUUAAAAGGUUUGUGGGAUAAUCUCUGCACAAAACAAGAUAAAUUAGCAAUUAUCAAUAGUGUAAAAACUGAAACAAAUCAAGAAGAUCCAAUCUCGAGAAUAUCAUUAAGGCCUCAAUGCCUCAAAUUCAACCAAAUAUUCAAUCGACCUUGGCGGAAAUACUAAAAUCCCCUCCAACAAUAACUGAUACAUCUAAAAAUCCCCUUGCCAAAACCUCUAAUAAAUUUACUCCUCUUCAAUAUCAAAACAUCCCCCAUUGGACCAAAAGACUUUACCCUAGUCACUAAAUCACAGCAAGAACAAACCUUAGAAGAGUAUACCUAUAAGCCAGAAACUGCCCCAGUCAUUAUUUUAGAAAAAGCCUAGAUAUAUGAUUUUGCAAGAAUAACAGCCCAAAACUUAUUUCCCAAAGAUUUCCAUUAUCCUUCAAUAUACCUAGCAAAACUAGAAUAUUUUAUGAGUUUAUUUUAGUAGACACUGAUUCUGCUGAAAUAUCUCAUACUAAAAAUGUGCAAGGAAUUAUUCUUUUUUUUCAAAACUAAAAUUCUUAAAAGUAUUAUUUCCAUAAGAAUGGAGCCAACAACCCCAUGAUUCUAAAACCUUCUCAAGAACCUUUAAUCGACUUACAAUUAUUAUGAUUAUAUAGAAGUCUAGUCAAAAGCAUUGUAUGUCCAUCCAGGAACCCACUUGUGGUUUAUCUGGUUAAGAGAGGAAUCUCCCUAAAAUUUCCUAGAUGGUUUAUUAAAUGGUUCUCAGAAUUCGGCCCACUAUCAUCUAUCUUCCCAUCUUAGGUAGUAGAAGUUUAUUCUUAUUUUAGAGAAAAGACUUCAUUUGAUUCAGGAUAUUGAUAUCCUUUGUGGCUACUCUCAUUCUAUAACGUGAAUUGUAGCCUGGGAAUAUAUUAAAGAACCAGCUUAUGAAAAUGUACACAUAAGAUCUCUUUCAAGAAAGUUUAAACUCAAGUGGUGGAAUAAACUUAAUACCAACUUCAUUAGCAAGAAUAUUGAUCAAUGACAAGCCAAUUACAAACAAAAGAAGGAAGAAACAAGUCUAUCAUUAACCCAGGAAUCAUUAUUUCUGCUAAUACUCUCUGUUUUUCAGCUAGAAAUAAUGAUUCCUAAUUUAAUGCUAGACUUGUUUCUUCCUUCUUUUGUCAGUAAUUGGCUUGCCAUUGAAUAAUAUUUUUCUUGCUGAUGAAGCUGGUAUUAAAUUAAUUCCACCACUUGAGUUUACACUUUCUUGAGAGAGAUCUUAUGUCUACAUUUUCAUAAACUGGUUCUAUAAUAUAUUCCCAGGCUACAAUCCAAGUUAUAAACUGAGUAGUCACAAAGGAUACUAAUCUUUAGCCUGAAUCAAAUGAAGUCUUUUCUCUAAAAUAAGAAUAAACUUCUACAACCUGAGAUGGGAAGACUGACAGUAGUGGGCCAAAUUCUGAGAACCAUUUUAUAGACCAUAUGGGAGAUUUUAGAGAGAUUCUUCUCCUAAACCAGAUAUACCACAAGUGGGUUCCUAGAUGGACAUACAAUGCUUUUGACCAGGCUUCUAUAUAAUCAUAAUAAUUGUAUGUCUGGGAAUUAAAGGUUCUUGAGAAGGUUUUAUAAUCAUGGGGUUGUUGGCUCCAUUCUUCGGGAGAUAAUAAUUUUAAGACUUUUAGUUUUGCAAAAAGAAUAAUUCCUUGCUCAUUUUUAGUAUGAGAUAUUUCAGCAAAAUCAGUGUCUACUAAAAUAAACUCAUAAAAUAUUUUGGUUUUAGCUAGGUCUAUUGAAGGAUAAUGGAAAUCUGUAGGAAAUAAGUUUUGGGUUAUUAUUCUUGCAUAAUCAUAUAUCCAGGCUUUUUCUAAAAUAAUGAUUGGGAUAAUUUCUCGCUUGUAGGUAUACUCUUCUAAGGUUUGUUCUUCUUGUGAUUUAGUGACUAGGGUAAAGUCUUUUGAUCCAGUGAGGAUGUUUUGACAUUAAAGAGGAGUAAAUCAAUUAGAGGUUUUGAUAAGGGGAUUUUUAGAUAUACCUGCUAUUGUUGGAGGGGUUUUUAAUAUUUCCGCCAAGGUCAAUUGAACCUUUGGUUGAAUUUGAGGCGUCUUCUACCUUAAUGAUAUUGUCGAGAGUGCAUCUUCUUAUUUGUUUCAGAUUUUACACUAUUGAGAAUUGCUAAUUUAUCUUGUUUUGUCCAGAGAUUAUCCCACCAACCUUUUAAUUGGCCAGUGAAUCCUUGUACAAUGGCUAUAGCAGGAGAUUUGUCUCUACAAUCUUUAGUGUUACAGGAGAUUUGUCUCUACAAUCUUUAGUGUUAUGGACAGUAGCUGUCAUUGUCAUUUGACAAGUCAUAUCUAAAUUAGCUUGUUCACUCAUUCCAUCUAAAUUUCAUUCAGUUUUUUCAUUUCUAGAGAAAGUAUUUUGUACUAGUUCUCCUCUCUCUUCAAAUUGCACAUCAGGAGGUAUGAGACGAGGAUAAUAUUUUCUAAGCUUUGGGUAUGUUUUUAAUUUAUUAAUUUGUAAUGUAUUUAUUGACAACUUAUUUAGCUCAUCUAAUUUCUUUUUUAUUAUUCUAUUUUUAAAUUUAUAUCACUUUUUAAUCUUAAUGAAUCUAAUUCUUUCUCUAGUACGUUAAAUAAUUUAUAUAUUGGUUUUAUAGUUCUCUUGAAGUACUAGCAGUUUCUUUUUGCCUUUUAUUUUCUAUUCGGGUUAAUUGUUUUGACAUAUUAUUCAAUAUUGUAUUUGAAUAAUUAAUAUGGGAAUGUAAGUUUUUAAUAUCUUUUACUUGCAUAGGCUUCACUUUUAAUAUCUUUAUAUGGACUUGCUUCUAUUUCUAAAUCUUGUGUGGGUUGUAUUAUGAUUCUUUAUCGUGGAAGGUGUUCCAAUUCUAUUAUUUUUUUUAUUUACUGUUUUCCCAGGUAUUUGAUAUUUUAUCUAGCGAACAUAUAAAUUUAUUAAUUCUGAAAGGAUAUUCUAAGUUAUUGUUUCUACUAUAAUAUGAAAACCAAUCAACGUAUAAAUUUAUUUCAUUUUGUCUUAAGUAAUUAUAAAAUUCUUCUCUAAACUUUUACACAUGUUGUUUUGUAAAUGUUUUAAAAUAUCAAUCUCUUCUUUCUUUAUUAUAAUCAUCUUCAAAAUCUUGUCUAAUCCAAUUUUUAUCUAUUUUAAAAGUUUCUUCUCUACUUAAAGUGUUUAAUAUUUGUAAGGUUGUUGGAGAAUAACAAGGGGAUUCCAAUUUUCUUGAUUCUUCAUAUAGAGGUUUUGUUACAAUUGGUGUAAUGUUACUUAAUCCUCUUAAAUCUAAAUUUAUUGUGGAUCCAUCAACUCAAUGUCUAGAAGAUUGUUCUUUAUAUAUCAUUUGAGGAUUUCUUAUAUUUACAGACGAUGACCUAUUCAUUCUUAAUCUAAUAUUUGUUCCUUCAUGCAUUAUUUCUCUUAUUUGGGUAUUAUAAAGUUUUGGUUCUUCUAUUACAUUUCCUAAUAUCCAUUCUUCAAGGAUCUUGCUUAUUACUUAUUCAUGAUUUAAUUUCUUUGGAAUUUGUACAGAUGAUUUUCUAAGACUAGCUUCUACAAGUAUUGUUUCAUCUUUUGGUGAAGAUUUUAGGACUUUAUAAUUAUAAUCUAUUUUUGUAACUUUAAAAUAAAUUCUAUAGAUUACUUGUAUUACACCUGAUAGUUAAUCUAUAAUUGCAUAUGGAAUUUGUACAUAUAAUUUUAUUGCAUUACUUGUUUUAUCAUUUCUGAUAUUCAUAGAAAAACUAGGAUAUCAGUUAAAGAAAGCAGGAUCAUUAUGUAAAUUACUUUCUAAUAUUGCAAUUAUUGAGUCAUUAAACUUUUUAAGUCUUAUGUCUCUUAAUACCAUAAGUAUUGGGCUAUUUACUCAUAAUAUGUAGUUUAGCUUUGCAGCUACUUGAAUUAAUCCUAAGUGAAUAAAGUUAUAUCUAUCUUUAAUGUGUUGAUCUAAAAGUGAUUGUUCUAAUAUGCUAAUAAUUUUAUUGUUUUUAGUCCCUAGAUAAUUGUAUUCUACAAUAUGGACUUCGUCUUGAUUUCUAGGCUAAAACUUAUGUUGUUUAUAUACUUCAUAUUUUUUUACUAUUGGUAUUGACCAAUUAUGUAAAGAGUUUUCUAUUUCUACAAUUUGUAAUUAUUUAUCUUUAUUGUUCUUUGAAGAAGAAGAAACUUCUUUUUGGCUAGAUCUAACUACUAUUUGUUUAUCUUUGUUUCUUAAUCUUAAAUCACUUAAUGUUCUAAGUAUGUUUGGCAUCCUUAAUCUUUCCCUUGUGUCCAUGUUACGGGACCACCUCUUUCCACUAUCUAGCUUACCAACGGUCAUACCACCUCUCUCAAGCCUUACUGUCGACACCAGUAGAUCUAAAGGUUGACCAACGUAUUAACACUUCUCAGUGUUAUACGGAGACUUUUGAAAGGAUUAAGAAGUCCAAUGACCUCAAAACCUUAAGGAAAUUUGGAUUAAGAUUCAAAGUAAACUUUUAAUAGUUAAGUUAACCAACAAAAUGACCCAACUCUUUCAACUUGUUUUCUAAGUAUUUUAUGUUACUUUUAUACUAGACUAUAGUCCAAGCAUAUCUUGUAAGGUCUUCUAAUAAUAAUUUAUCUUUUUGUGAUAUGUGUUUUGUCAAGUUUCUUUUAAGCUUUCUAAUUUAAGAUUUUUCAUUUCUUCUUGUAAAUUUUUUAUUGUUACUUGUUGACUUGGACCCUUAAAUCUAUUGGUAAAUCUCUUUCAUGCUUAUUGGUUUUACGUAUUGUUGAACUUCUUCACUUCAUAUUGAUUUUCGUAGAAGUUUGAUCUUUUGUUAACAUAUUUAUACUUUUACAAUUUGUACAGUCACAUAAUCAUUGGUCUGAAUAGUAAUCAUCUUCAAUAUCUUCUUCUAAACUUUCACCAAAAGUUUCUUGUUCUAUUUGUUCUAAUUCCAAUUCACUAUCUUCAUCUUCUAUUGAACUAUUAGAUUCCUCUGAUUCGGAAUUGAUUAAAAUAUUUAAUAAAAUUUCUUUUAAUUUCUCAUCUUCUAUUUGAUUUAUUUUUUUGUUGUACCCUACAACUAUUAGCAUAAUGGUUUGGUCUACCACAUUUCCAACACACAUUAUCUUUUUAGUUUAACUUUGGUUUAAUUGCUUCUUUUGUCCCCAGUUUGGUUGAAGUGUGUCAAAUUCGUCCCUUUUUUAGAAAAAUGUCAAUUUCGUCCCCAUAUAGAAAAAAAUUGUGUCAAUCAAGUCAUCUCCGUUAGAUACAAACUAAUGGUGUUAAAAACUUAAAGUGAGUUUUGAAUAAUAACCAUUUCAUGGGUCCGAACCCUGAUAUGGCAGUGAAUAAAGUGAGUUUUGAAAGCAAUGAUUUUUAAUAGAGAUGACUUGAUUGACACAAAUUUUUUCUAUAUGAGGACGAAAUUGACAUUUUUCUAAAAGGGGGACGAAUUUGACACACUUCAACCAAUCUGGGAACAAAAGAAACAAUUACUUUUUAUGUUUGGGUUUUCUUGUAGCCUUUUUAUUUUUUGUAUUUUGAUUAUUUGAUUUAUUUUGGAAUUUUGUAUAUGAUUUUUUAUAAGGUUUUCUAAAUGUCACUUUUUGUCUUUUAUUUACUUUCUUUUUCUCUACACUUGGUGCUUUAAUAGGCUACAUGCCUUACUGUUGGCAAAAUGUACUUAUUUCUCUUUUAUUAACCAUACUUUCUUUUCUCAAUUUAUUUUUGUAAUUUAAAAUAUGUGCAUACUUGUAUUCAUGUUUCUACUAUUAUUUUAUGUAUUUGACCAUAGUAGUUAGUAUGCCAUAUGCUAUUGGUUUAUCGUAAUGUCUUUCUAAAUUCAUUUUUACCUUUUCUGAAAACAAUUUAGGCAAUCCAACUAAGAAUCUUUCUUUCCAAAAUCUAGCAAAACCAUGUUCUCUUAGAGUUACUUUUGACAAAAAAAUUUCUUUAUACCAUAUAUUAUCUGACAUUUUCUUGGAAGUAAAUGUUUGCUAAUUGAUUUGCGAACCUUUCUUUAAAGAUAUUUGGAUCUCCUACAAAAUUUUGAAUCAUUGAGUAAAUUAAGGUCAAGACUACCUCUUCUUGAUUUGUUCCAAUUUUUACUUUAUUGAGAAUGUCUAAUUUAUCUUGUUCUAUGGAGAGUUUAUCCCAACCUUUUAAUUGGCCAGUGAAUCCUUGUACAAUGACUAUAACAGCAGAUUUCUCACUACAAUCUUUAAUUUUAUGGACAAUAGCUUCCAUUGUCAUUUGACAAAUCAUAUCUAAAAUAACUUGUUCACUCAUCUAGAUUCCAUUUAGUUAUUUCAUUUCCAAAGAAAGCAUUUUGUAUCAAUUCUCCUCUCUCUUCAAAUGUGUCACAAAUCCUAUCCAAUGCUGGAGGGACUUGUGACUACUACCAAAAAGAAAUAUAAUGGUGAAGACGCUUCUAUUUAUAGGCCAAAAGUGUCUUCUUCUAACUUAAAAAGCAUCUUUUGAAAACCAAAAAACAAACCUAACCACCACGCAAGGAUGGUGGCCGAAUAUUACUCACCAUUAGGACGGAGCCAUGUGUCACAAAUCCUAUCCAAUGCUGGAGGGACUUAUGACUACUACCAAAAAGAAAUCCUCUCCACUCCUAAGAUGUGAUGUGGCCAUUUCUAAAAAGCAAAUUCUCUCCAAUAGAAACAUGACACAUGGUACACACUUUCCACUUGGUUUGGGUAUCUAACUUAAGGAAAAUCCUAUGCUACUUAGGCCUUCAUACAAACCUUAAACAAACCUACACUACAUGGCCGAAUACAAGACCUAAAUCUUACACUACUCCUUCUUUCCUAAUGGCCCAAGUAAAACAAACUUUUGUUUCUCUUUCUAAAGAUAGUUCUUCUUGGAGGAGUUUGGUCAUACUUCUAGUGAUUGGACCUUUAGCUAUGAGUUUGUCAUCAUUAGAAAUAUUAAAUAUUGUACUUCAAUAAAAAUAAAUAAAUCAUAUUCUAACAAUUAUACAAAAUGUUAAAACCUAUUUCCUUAAAAGCAAGAUGAAUCAAAUCAUUUACUUGAGACUAAUGAAAGUUAAUUGAUUUCGAAUUUAAAGGGAUUAUAUACCUACCCAUCAUCAAAUAUCUUGAAAAUAUUCAUAUACUAUUAUCAACCAAAAGAAUUAAUAAUUCUACCAAUAUAGCAAAAUAAAAGUUUUAAUUACUACCAAACAGUUAUGAGCUAUACAAGAAAAAAAAAUGAGGCUGAAUAAAAAUAUUAUAUACUUUAACAUACAUGUCCAAGGGAAGAACAAUCCCGUGCUUCAAAUCAUGUUAACUUAUAGUGCUCAAUUCUAAUUUGGUUCAAAUAAAGAUAAUGAUUUUAUUUAAACAACUCACUCGAAGCACAAAAAGAGGAAAAAAAUUGACCUCUACUAUGUGUGAUGGUACUAAUUUGUGCCUUAAGUUACAGGUUACUUCAUCCUUCCACAUCCUAGAACCACAAGAAUGAGAGCACAAAGAAUACGAGUAAACCAAUUGUUAGACUAUGAUACUUUAACACCAGUGUGGGGUGUUGUACUUCCACGCCAUCAUUG